GACGAACGCUGGCGGCGUGCUUAACACAUGCAAGUCGAACGGAAACCGACCGACAGCUUGCUGUUGGACGGAUUUAGUGGCGAACGGGUGAGUAACACGUGGGCAACCUGCCCUGGAGAUCGGGAUAACAUGGGGAAACCUGUGCUAAUACCGGAUACACUGCCUUUCCCGCAUGGCAUCGGCAGAAAAGGUAAGUUUACUUUCCGCUCCAGGAUGGGCCCGCGGCUUAUUAGCUUGUCGGUAGGGUAACGGCCUACCGAGGCGACGAUGAGUAGCCGGCCUGAGAGGGUGAACGGCCACACUGGGACUGAGACACGGCCCAGACUCCUACGGGUGGCAG
rnacentral:rRNA from 1 species